UCCCCUUCUCUAUAAAAGCGUUUCCCCUGGCUUGCUUGUGGGUCACUGUAUUCGUGUGCCCGUGACUAUGUUUGCUGCUCUCAAAUAUACCCAUUUUGUUCGUAAAAUAACUUGCUGUUUCAUUGUUUUAAGAUUACAUGGAGGUUUCAUAGAGCUCCAGAGAAGAACGCUGACAACUCCCAGUGUGGCCUAGUCCGCGGAGCUCAUGGCUCGCUGACCCUGAAAUCUGAGGGGUGCUGCUCUCUGACGGAUGACUGAAUGGAUUUUGGAGCAGGAAGAAAGCACGGGCCAAACUGGGUUUAAUCUUGCAAUCCAGCACAGAUGAUAGCAAAGUUUCCCAAACUAGAGCUGCAAAGCCUCUGAUGUCCUCAAGUUGGGCUUGACUGAAACACCUUAUUUGAAGACAGUUCUGCUCCAAAUGGCUGUUACGUUCUUCCUAAGACCAGUGGAAUAGCAGCCGAAGCAGUAGAAGCACAAGAGCGGGCAGGCCUGAUCCAUGCCUUUUAAGAUACUGCGUCCAUCACAUCUGUCACUAUGCUGUCAGCCAAGGCACAGCACAUGCUAAAGCUGAGGUACCGCAAUUUUAUUUCAACAACCUCCUAUUAAGAGACUAUUAGCUUUUUGCUAUUAUAAGCAAUGCAGCAGUGACUAAGUACACAUGUCAUCUUUUGUAUAUACUAAUAUCUCUUUGAAUAAAUGCUGAGAAGUGAACUUCGAAAUUAAAAGAUGGGCUUUUGCAAUUUUGAUAGGUAUUGGGAAGCACUGUUUAGAGAUUAUUGUAACUGUAUAUUCCCAUCAACAAUAUUGGAGCUAUGUUAUCAUUUUUUAUUUUUACCAAUCUUGCACAUGAAAAUGUUAUUUUUGCAUAGCUCUAACUUGUAUUCUUUAAUUGUAAGUGAGGUUGACAAUCUUCAUAUGUUUAAAAACAAUUUAUAUUUCCUCCUGUUCAUAUCUUAUGCCCAUUUAGUUCCAAUGGGUUUUUAAAUUUUUCUCAAUUGAUUAAUAUAUCUUAAAGAAACUAAUACUUAUUAAAUUAGGGCACUCACCCCCCCCCAAAAAAGCUCCUAUAAUUAAAAACAACAAGCAGAACCACAGUCUA